rnacentral:rRNA from 1 species
UACGUAGGUGGCAAGCGUUAUCCGGAUUUAUUGGGCGUAAAGAGAACGCAGGCGGUCUUUUAAGUCUGAUGUGAAAGCCUUCGGCUUAACCGGAGUAGUGCAUUGGAAACUGGGAGACUUGAGUGCAGAAGAGGAGAGUGGAACUCCAUGUGUAGCGGUGAAAUGCGUAGAUAUAUGGAAGAACACCAGUGGCGAAAGCGGCUCUCUGGUCUGUAACUGACGCUGAGGUUCGAGAGCGUGGGUAGCAAACAGG